GACGCGCGCGGCACAGGCACGCCACACGGACACAGAAAUACAUACACGCAUAGAGCCGCGGCUGCCUCCUGCGUGCAGGAUCGAGCUCCGUCGAUCGAUCGGACUAGCGAGUUGCCAUGGCAGCAGCCAGUGCUCUUCUCAUGGCGGCUCUCGCGGUCUUCGCCACGGCCGCGGCGGCGGCGCUGGACACGUCGCCGGUGCCGUUCGAUGCCGGGUACGCGCCGCUCUUUGGGGGCGACAACCUCGUGCGGUCGGUGGACGGCCGGAGCGUCACGCUCAAGCUGGACCGAUACACCGGGUCUGGGUUCAUAUCCAAGUCGGCCUACCGCCAUGGCUUCUUCGGCGCUUCCAUUAAGCUGCCGGCCGACUACACCGCCGGCGUCGUCGUCGCCUUCUACCUGUCGAACUGGGACGAGUACCCCAAGAACCACGACGAGCUGGACUUCGAACUGCUGGGCAACCGGCGCGGCCACGGCUGGCGUGUCCAGACCAACAUGUACGGCAACGGCAGCACCGCCCGCGGCCGAGAGGAGCGUUACCAUCUCCCCGUCGAACCUACCGUCGCCGGCGUCCACCGCUAUGCCAUAGCCUGGACCCCCAACAACAUCGUCUUCUACCUCGACGGCGUCCCCAUCCGCGAGGUGGUCGGCGUUCCCUCCAUGGGCGGCGACUUCCCCUCCAAGCCCAUGUCCGUCUACGCCACCAUCUGGGACGGCUCCGCCUGGGCCACCGAUGGCGGCAAGUACAAGGUCGACUACGCCUACGCGCCAUUCGCCGCCGAGUUCUCCGACCUCGUCCUGAGCGGCUGCGACGCCAGCAGCGUCGCCGACCCCGAGGGGUGCCAGGUCGACCUGCUCACGCACGACGUCGCCGUCAUGGCCCCUGCCAAGCGCGCCGCCAUGAGGGGGUUCCGCGAGCAGUACCUGACCUACACGGCUUGCCGCGACCGGGUGCGAUACAAGACCACGGUCUUCCCCGAGUGUGACGACCUCGCCGACGGCGACUCCAGCUUCCACCUCUGGGGGGAGUCCAAGAAGAGGCGCCGCCGGUCGUCGUCGCCGCUGCAGUACUCUUCCAGCAUGCAGUAGGUUAUGGGUUCCGAUCGAAUGAGUCCAGUCCAUCGAUGCAUGGCAUCCUCAAGAUAGUUUUCUCGGUCGAGGUUGGUGCAUCUGUCGGAUAUGUACACAGUACACAGGAGGAUUACAGAUAGGGAAAACGUAAAAAACGUAAUUUUAUCAAUAGUACAUACAGUAGUACGUCCACUUGCUUAUAUAGUUUAAAUUUUCCAAA